rnacentral:rRNA from 1 species
UACAGAGGGGGCAAGCGUUGUUCGGAAUUACUGGGCGUAAAGGGCGCGUAGGUGGCCUGCUAAGUCGAACGUGAAAUCCCUGGGCUCAACCCAGGAACUGCGUCCGAUACUGGUUGGCUUGAAUCCGGGAGAGGGAUGUGGAAUUCCAGGUGUAACGGUGAAAUGCGUAGAUAUCUGGAGGAACACCGGUGGCGAAGGCGACAUCCUGGACCGGUAUUGACGCUGAGGCGCGAAAGCCAGGGGAGCAAACGGG